rnacentral:rRNA from 1 species
GCAAGUCGAGCGGACUCUUCGGAGAUAGCGGCGGACGGGUGAGUAACACGUGGGCAACCUGCCUGUAAGACUGGGAUAACUCCGGGAAACCGGAGCUAAUACCGGAUAGUAUCUUGAACCGCAUGGUUCAAGUUGGAAAGACGGUUUCGGCUGUCACUUACAGAUGGGCCCGCGGCGCAUUAGCUAGUUGGUGAGGUAAUGGCUCACCAAGGCAACGAUGCGUAGCCGACCUGAGAGGGUGAUCGGCCACACUGGGACUGAGACACGGCCCAGACUCCUACGGGAGGCAGCAGUAGGGAAUCUUCCGCAAUGGACGAAAGUCUGACGGAGCAACGCCGCGUGAGUGAUGAAGGUUUUCGGAUCGUAAAACUCUGUUGUUAGGGAAGAACAAGUGCGAGAGUAACUGCUCGCACCUUGACGGUACCUAACCAGAAGGGCGCGGCUAACUACGUGCCAGCAGCCGCGGUAAUACGUAGGUGGCAAGCGUUGUCCGGAAUUAUUGGGCGUAAAGCGCGCGCAGGCGGUUUCUUAAGUCUGAUGUGAAAGCCCCCGGCUCAACCGGGGAGGGUCAUUGGAAA